AAGUCGUAACAAGGUCUCCGUUGGUGAACCAGCGGAGGGAUCAUUACAGAGUUACAAACUCCAAACCUUUGUGAACAUACCUAUGUUGCUUCGGCGGCCUCGCCCCGGGCGUCGCGGUGCCCUCACGGGAGCCGCGGCGGCCGGAUCCAGGCGACCGCCGGGGGACCCAAACUCUUGUUUUUUAGUGUCUUCUGAGUGGCAUAAGCAAAAUAAUCAAAACUUUCAGCAACGGAUCUCUUGGUUCUG
rnacentral:misc_RNA from 1 species